GAGGUCUGGUCGGAUCCACAUCACAGGGCCCCAAAAUUUGGGGGCCCAAAAAUAAUUUAAACACUGCUGGGCUAAAACUUAAAAUAAAAUAAAAAAAACUUCCCUUUCCCAUACUUCUCCCUUCCCCGUAACUUCUUGAAACAAUGAAACAAGGAAACCAAAAAUAACUCUUCAAAUUCUCUCUCCUUCCCAUGGUGAUUUGACUGAUUUCAAAAAAUUAGUCAAUUACAACCUUCAUCAACUACUCAACGGUUCAAUCUUCGACCUACAUUCCUUUUCUCGUUCCUUUGAGGCUUUGAAUCUCACUUUCUCUCUCUUCCGUUCAAUGCUCUUUACCAGGUAAUUUUCUUAUGCUAAAACCUCAAGAUUUGAUUGUUUUUAUGUUAUUGACUUGUUGCUCUUAAUUGUAAUUCUUCUAUUUCAAUUUUCGAUUAAAUUAGGGUUUUGAAAUCGAAUUCUUCCCAGAAAAUUUGUCGAAGUUCGAUGGCAAGGCGGUGUAUUUCGAUGGAUUGGAACUCCGAGUAGAAACGAACAAGGUGGAAUUUGGUCAAUUAAGUAGGGUUUGUUGAAGAUUUGGGUUUAAUUUUAUUGAUUUGAUUGUUGUUCAUGUAUGUGGAAUUUGUUCAUUUUAAUUGAAAAUUGAAGCGUGUAGUAUGUAAAUUUUGAAUUAAUAUUGUUCAUCUUUAUUUUCCUA